GCAGUACCAGUUGGUAGAGCAUGAGACACUUAAUCUCAGGGUUGUGGGUUCAAACCCCACGUUGGGCA